CUUUGUAGCCACAGGCUGGAACAAAUAUUGAUGGGAAAUUGAGAAAGAAAGGAGUAUUUAGAUUGGUAAAGUUAGCUUCAAAGCCUUGGCAGAUAGCUCUUGCAGUAAGACCAAAGUUAUUUGUAUCUUCUGUCGCUGUGUUUGACUCACGGAUUACUUCACGGAUUUAUUGCCAAGAGACUGGAGAAGUGCAGGAUCGCAGGAAACUGGCCACCUCUUCCAGUUCCAUCAGGCAGACACCAAGGUGUUCACAGGCCAGCUGAGAGACCUAAUCCAUCCAGGUUCACUUCAUUGCCACACUCCCAGCAGCAGAGAACAAAAAGAAGAAGCGCCUCAUUGAUGAAAGACAUGAAGGACGAGAGUUGAGGAAAAAAGGUGCGGAUACACAAAUAUAUAAGCCUUGCUCAGACCCAUUCCGCGACAAACCACCUUGCUGGCGUCUGAUGUCAGCUUGGACGUAGAAGAGGAUGUGGAGGUGGUGCUGUAGGCUCCGCCCACUUUGGAGGAUUUGGUAACGGUUUCAACCAGGACAGAUGAUGUCUCGUGGAGGCUGUGCCCACCUGAGAGUCGGGCGCCUGCAAGACAGAGAGAACAAGGUCACCAAAUCAAAUGUCAUUACGGGUCGGCGCAGAUGUUACGUAACCAUGAGACAGGCAAGGUGCAGCUGAUCCUGGAAAGUGUUUCCCUAAUUCCUUUUGCCAGGAACUAUUGAAACUUAAAACUAACUCUAAUUUCUAACCCCCUAAC